rnacentral:rRNA from 1 species
AUUGUACGCUGGCGGCAGGCUUAACACAUGCAAGUCGAGCGGAGAUGAGGUGCUUGCACCUUAUCUUAGCGGCGGACGGGUGAGUAAUGCUUAGGAAUCUGCCUAUUAGUGGGGGACAACAUUCCGAAAGGAAUGCUAAUACCGCAUACGCCCUACGGGGGAAAGCAGGGGAUAUUCGGACCUUGCGCUAAUAGAUGAGCCUAAGUCGGAUUAGCUAGUUGGGGGGGUAAAGGCCUACCAAGGCGAGGAUCUGGAGCGGGUGUGAGAGGAUGAUCCGCCACACUGGGACUGAGACACGGCCCAGACUCCUACGGGAGGCAGCAGUGGGGAAUAUUGGACAAUGGGCGGAAGCCUGAUCCAGCCAUGCCGCAUGUGUGAAGAAGGCCUUUUGGUUUUAAAGCACUUUAAGCGAGGAGGAGGCUACCUGGAUUAAUACUCUAGGAUAGUGGACGUUACUCGCAGAAUAAGCACCGGCUAACUCUGUGCCAGCCGCCGCCGUAAAAC